CUGGCUAACCAGCACAAGAUCAGGCAUGUGAGAAGACACUUAUGGCUGUCCAUCAUUUUUAAAUGCACCAGAACCUUCAACUCAGUAAACAGCAGAGAGGAGAGGACACUAUGAACCCAAGUCCAGUCCUUUCUCCUGCAGUAUUGGACUAAAGGAUUGAAUUGACAAUAGCAUGAGUUUUCACUACGAGCAAUGGAAACCUGAUUCUGCCAAGAUCUAACAUGCAAGCCUGCAAUGGGGUUCUGCAGCUCACUUUCUGUUGCUGUGAUAGAGGACUUACCAAAAGACUUCUGGAGAAGAGCUUUCCCUUUACUUCAUCUUAUAGGUUGGAGUCCAUCAUCGAGGAAAACCAAGAUCUUGAACAGAGAACUGAAUACAUCCUGCCCAGGCUUCUGAUUGAACUCCGAGAUAAUGAGCUUAGUUUAUUGCUCAUAAGCUUGCGGUGACUUGCUCUGCCACCAUGGAACGUGAAUACGGGCAGCAAGAACAGUGUACUCUGUAGCCCAGGCUAGCCUCACCCUCAGCAAUCGUCCUGUUACGCCUUCCACGUGCUGAGAUCGCAGGUACACGCAAUCAUAUUUGCCUUAGUGACCUUCUACACGAUGUCUCGUGUAACUGUAAAAACAGCUCCCGAGUUUCAAACCUCAUGACAAGUUUGGAACGAGCUGAGAACAAGGUGUAGUGGAAGGCUCUUAGAGAGAGUGUUAGGAUAGUGCAAGGUGAUAUAAAGCCUGAACAUCUCACAGAGUUUUAUUACAGAGUUGCUUGAUAACUAUAACCCAGAUGGACUACCCAGGGUCAUCGACCAGUGGCUAUGAGGGGCAAGAAAGGUCCUUGGAAACUUUUCUCAGGACUCAGAUGUGAGUAUUAGAAGUGCAUCAGAGAAUGCAGUGAGACCAACGGUACACUCGGGCAGUGGAGGAAAGCAAAACAAGUCUUAAAUUAACGGCGCCUGCAGAAGAGAAAGAAAGGGUGAGAUCCGUAAAGCAAACUAAGAGUUCCGAACGCGGACCUUUGCCUUUGGAACACUCUGACCCAGGUCUCUCUAGUGAGCACUGCUAGGCGCACAUCAGGACCUCGCGGGCGGCUCCAAGUGUGGAGGUGGAAGGCUUGAGGUCAUCACAGGUGACCUCUGGGAGCUCCAUCUACGCUCGGCACCUCCCUGGCUCUCUCUCCAUCAAGCUCUGAGACGUCUCUUCCGUUGUCCUUGUUACCACCCCCUCUUUUCCCACUGAGCUAUUUCAGUGAUGAGAACCAGAGGAUUCGACCCAAGUAGAGUCCUUAUACAAGGAUGGAGGACACUAUUUGUCCCAGAUUAAAGGAAGCUUCCCCAAACUACACAGCUCUCUACGCUGUCUGAAAAUUGUCUCUUGCCUAUGUGGACCCUCAAUGAACUUGCUAGCAAAACAUAACUGCUUUUUACCACUUAGCAAUAAAUAAUAAUAAUAAUAAUAAUAAUAAUAAUAAAGAUGUGCUCUCAUUCUCUACAGAACAGAAUUGUAUAACUUUUAGAUAAUUUGUAGAUAACUCUUAAGGAGAAGAACAUGAAAUUAAUAUCAAGUUGUCUACAGUCUGGGCUCCCAAUGAUCAAACAUCUUGCCUGAUUUUUUUUUUUUAAAGAAAAGUUUUGCAGGCAAGCAGGAUGGCUUGUUGCUAAGUCUAAGGAUCUGACUUCUAUCAUGGAUAAUCCAGUGGUGGAGCAUAAUUUUCUACUGUUAUGAAUCAUAAUGUAAAUAUCUUAUAUUUUCCCACAGUCUUAAGCAACCCCUGUGAAAGAAUCAUUUGACCCCCAAAGGGGUCUCAAACCACAGGUUGAGAACCACUGGCCUAGACAUACCCUACCCAUAUACAUAAACACACCGACAAAUACAUAAAUGAUUUUAAAAGUGUUUCAAAACAAGUUUCUGCCUGACCACUAAGUCUUAGGGCUAUGAACACGGAGUUCAAUGUCAAGGGUGUUUUGAAAAUGUCAAGGAAAAAAAAAUGUGCUUGCUAGGCAAGUUCAGUGAUAUCUGGACAGAUUUCUUGAGCAGAUGGCUAAUAACAGUUAAUCAUCACAUAUUAUUUGUAUUCUGUGUCUCAUCAUUUUACCCUCUCGCAUGGUUAAAUUACGCUUGCCUUUGGACAUGACCCAGUGUAGUAGAGAAUUCUAAAUAAACAUUUUAAUGGUG